UACGGAGGAUCCAAGCGUUAUCCGGAAUCAUUGGGUUUAAAGGGUCCGUAGGCGGCCCUGUAAGUCAGCGGUGAAAUCUCCCGGCUCAACCGGGAAAUGGCCAUUGAUACUGCAGGGCUUGAAUUAUUGUGAAGUAACUAGAAUAUGUAGUGUAGCGGUGAAAUGCGUAGAUAUCUGGAGGAACACCGGUGGCGAAGGCGGCAUUCUGGACUGUAACUGACACUGAGAGACGAAAGCCAGGGGAGCAAACGGG
rnacentral:rRNA from 1 species